GUGAGGAAUAUUGCGCAAUGGAGGCAACUCUGACGCAGCCAUGCCGCGUGCAGGAAGAAGGCGCUACGCGUUGUAAACUGCUUUUAACCGGGAAGAAACCCCAGGACGUGUCCUGGGUUGACGGUACCGGAGGAAUAAGCACCGGCUAACUUCGUGCCAGCAGCCGCGGUAAUACGAAGGGUGCAAGCGUUAUCCGGAUUCAUUGGGUUUAAAGGGUGCGUAGGUGGAGCGUUAAGUCAGUGGUGAAAUCCUGCAGCUUAACUGUAGACUUGCCAUUGAUACUGGCGCUCUUGAGUGCGCUUGAAGUGGGCGGAAUGUGCCGUGUAGCGGUGAAAUGCUUAGAUAUGGCACAGAACACCAAUUGCGAAGGCAGCUCACUAAGGCGAUACUGACGCUGAGGCACGAAAGCGUGGGGAUCGAACAGGAUUAGAUACCCUGGUAGUCC
rnacentral:rRNA from 1 species